rnacentral:tRNA from 1 species
CCACCUCUAGCUCAAUGGUAGAGCAGACGACUUAUACUCGUCCGGUUCCUGGUUCGAGUCCAGGGAGGUGGA